GAGAGCCGGAUGCGGGAAAUCCGCACGUCCGGUUCGAUGAGCGGGAUGUGGAAACGGAGCCAUGGUGAGGUUAUUCGGGCACCACCAGACGAAAGGGGCGGCAACAGACAAACCGGACCUACUACCAC
rfam:Candidatus Burkholderia humilis strain TZHbot5 BHTMctg105, whole genome shotgun sequence.